rnacentral:snRNA from 1 species
AGCUGCGCAGUGGGCACAGAGCGGACUAUUCUUUCGCCUUUUACUGAAUAAAAUACCGUGUGCCCGCUCCAAGAAGCAGCAUACGCUUAUUUAAUUUUGGAGGGUUUCUUCUCAUUGUGAAUU